rnacentral:rRNA from 1 species
GGGGCAAUCCAGUGGUGGCAGCAGUGGGGAAUAUUGCACAAUGGGCGGAAGCCUGAUGCAGCGACGCCGCGUGGGGGAUGACGGCCUUCGGGUUGUAAACUCCUUUCACCAUCGACGAAGGUUUUCUGACGGUAGAUGGAGAAGAAGCACCGGCUAACUACGUGCCAGCAGCCGCGGUAAUACGUAGGGUGCGAGCGUUGUCCGGAAUUACUGGGCGUAAAGAGCUCGUAGGUGGUUUGUCGCGUCGUCUGUGAAAUUCCGGGGCUUAACUCCGGGCGUGCAGGCGAUACGGGCAUAACUUGAGUACUGUAGGGGAGACUGGAAUUCCUGGUGUAGCGGUGAAAUGCGCAGAUAUCAGGAGGAACACCGGUGGCGAAGGCGGGUCUCUGGGCAGUAACUGACGCUGAGGAGCGAAAGCAUGGGUAGCGAACAGGAUUAGAUACCCUGGUAGUCCAUGCCGUAAACGGUGGGCGCUAGGUGUAGGGGUCUUCCACGACUUCUGUGCCGUAGCUAACGCAUUAAGCGCCCCGCCUGGGGAGUACGGCCGCAAGGCUAAAACUCAAAGGAAUUGACGGGGGCCCGCACAAGCGGCGGAGCAUGUGGAUUAAUUCGAUGCAACGCGAAGAACCUUACCUGGGCUUGACAUGUACGGGACCGCCGCAGAGAUGUGGCUUCCCUUGUGGCUCGUAUACAGGUGGUGCAUGGUUGUCGUCAGCUCGUGUCGUGAGAUGUUGGGUUAAGUCCCGCAACGAGCGCAACCCUUGUCUUAUGUUGCCAGCACGUAAUGGUGGGGACUCGUGAGAAACUGCCGGGGUCAACUCGGAGGGAAGGUGGGGAUGACGUCAAAUCAUCAUGCCCCUUAUGUCCAGGGCUUCACACCAUGCUACAAUGGUCGGUACAGUGGGUUGCGAUACCGUGAGGUGGAGCUAAUCCCUUAAAGCCGGUCUCAGUUCGGAUCGGGGUCUGCAACUCGACCCCGUGAAGUCGGAGUCGCUAGUAAUCGCAGAUCAGCAACGCUGCGGUGAAUACGUUUCCGGCCUGUACACACGGCCGUCACGUCAUGAAGUCCGUACGACCGAGCAGUGGGCUAACUUUAGGGGGGACCUGUCCAAAGGUGAAUCGGCGAUUGGGACGAAUGUCGAAACAGGUAUACGUCACAUCA